UCGGGAAUUUUGGGCAAUGGGGGAAACCCUGACCCAGCAACGCCGCGUGAAGGAUGAAGUAUUUCGGUAUGUAAACUUCGAAAGAAUAGGAAGAAUAAAUGACGGUACUAUUUAUAAGGUCCGGCUAACUACGUGCCAGCAGCCGCGGUAAUACGUAGGGACCAAGCGUUGUUCGGAUUUACUGGGCGUAAAGGGCGCGUAGGCGGCAAUUCAAGUCAUCUGUGAAAUCUCCGGGCUUAACUCGGAACGGUCAGAUGAUACUGCUUUGCUAGAGUGCAGAAGGGGCAAUCGGAAUUCUUGGUGUAGCGGUGAAAUGCGUAGAUAUCAAGAGGAACACCUGAGGUGAAGACGGGUUGCUGGGCUGACACUGACGCUGAGGCGCGAAAGCCAGGGGAGCAAACGGG
rnacentral:rRNA from 1 species